rnacentral:lncRNA from 1 species
AAAUCAUUAUUUUUCCCUGUUAAGCGCUUAUAAGGCUGCGUGUGGAGGACUGUGCAUGUGUCUGGCACACAACAGACACUGGAAUACUGGGGCAAUUCUAGCAAAGGUGAGAAGGUAAAUCCUAUUGUUGUCUUUAGCUGUUCUGCAGGGUUGGGGUACAGAGAAGACCAACUCUUCUUGGAGGUACACAAUGAAAGGAAGAGAGAGAAUACUGCAAAUUGCAGCAAGAGAAAUUCCAAUUAGAUGUGAUGAAAACAAAUUUCUUAAUGAGAGUAGUCAAACAUUGGAAUAGAUUGCCCAAAGAGAUUGGCCAUGGUUUGGUGGUAGGGUGGAGAUGUGUAGAAUCAGCUGAUCUCCAGUGCUCCAUUCCAACCUAAGCUGGCUCUGCGAUUCUUGAAGAUGAAUGUGAGCUGUUGCUGGCAGUCAGCUGCUUAUAUUUGUCCUAAUGAGGUAGCAUUUCUUGACUUGACAAAGCAGACAUGAAAUAGAGUAGCAAGUUGGAUUGAUUUUAGAUACUUGAAAAACACAAUUUUAUUGGCUGAAAAACACAUCUUCAGAUCUAUUUGGUUAUUUCUGCUUUCUGGAGAUGGAUGAUUAGGAAACUCUGACUAGGAAUUACUGCUUUAAAUAUAUGCAUAUUACUAGGGUCCUCUGGUAGUUUUUUACUUUUAUGACUGUAUCGUGCCUUCUCCCAACCUCUCACCUCUCCAAGUUGUUAUUUUGAAGAACAAAAAGUAAUUACUUACUGAGUAAAUGUUUAUUUGCUUUAAUGGACCUGUUACAUCUGAUAAAGACAAAACACCUAGUGCAUGCUUUUCUGAGAGUGAUAAUGUGUCACAGUCAUUCAAAUAUUGCUUUUGUUUUCAGAGCUUCAAAUGGAGCCAAAAGAUGAUGCCAACUAUGCUGCUGCAGCAGGUCAUUAAGUGCCUGCUUUAUUUUGCAUGGGAGGAUGUUACCUGGCUGCAUUCCAGAAGGGAACCCUAAAAGGCAGAAGUUGCUGGUUUUCUCUGAAGACUUUUGGCUAAUACAAGAAAUGCUCUGUAGAUCUGCCAGUUUCUCUGUGGGAUUGCAUAAUACAGCCCUACUAAUAUCAAGGAAUCACUACUAGGUGAAUGGCCCCAUCUGCUGGUACAGACUUGCUUAUUAUUUUUCACAUAUAAAUAUCCUUUUGUGUCCUUGGUUUAACUGGAUUUCAGACCGUAAUGAUCACAUUUGUUAAUUUUCUGGCUUCUGGACCAAGGAGAGCAGCGAAGGACCUGCACUACGGUCAGUUGCUCUGUGUAUUUCUUUCUACUUCUGCUGUUGAUUUCUUUGACUACCAAGACAAAUCACUCUACUGCUGUUGUGUGCCCUUUAGUGUACCCAUAAGCAUUAACACCGGAAGCAAAAUAAUCUCAUUAUUUCAAGCUAAAAUGGAUUAGCAAUAUUAGGGUUAACAAUUCGUUGACAAUUAACUAAUAACGGGAAUAUGAGAGGCAAAGACUUCAGUCUUCACUAGUAUCCACAGAAAUGCUACUAAAUGAGUCAUUGAUGCCUUAUUUGACAAUCCACAUAUAAAGUCUGAGCUAGCCAGGUACAAAUGACAUACAAGGAACUCACUGCAGCAGAUCCUAGACCUAUGGAUUUGGAAAUUGGGAUUUUCCCACAUUAGGACCCACAUAGUCUACUAAUGAGUUAGUCGAUACUUUUCUCACGCUAGCAUUGGCUAUGCAAUACUGGACUUGAUUUUAUCUCCCACUUACAUCAGGUUUCAUCCACCCUAGGUUGAAUCUCACUGCUCACAGAACUGAGAAGGAGGUCAUUGUCUUCCAAAACAGAACCUUUCUACAUUUGGGGCUCAGCAGCAUUUUUAUUUUAUUUUAACUCUAGUCCACUGAUUCAUGUGCUCUAAGCUUUUAUUUACACUCUGUUAAAACAGGAAAAUCACACAUCAAAUAUUGCAUUUCUACCUUGCUUCUGUAUUUCUUCAUGCUUUCAACUUUGA